UACGUAGGGUGCAAGCGUUAAUCGGAAUUACUGGGCGUAAAGCGUGCGCAGGCGGUUCGGAAAGAAAGAUGUGAAAUCCCAGGGCUCAACCUUGGAACUGCAUUUUUAACUACCGGACUAGAGUAUGUCAGAGGGAGGUGGAAUUCCACGUGUAGCAGUGAAAUGCGUAGAUAUGUGGAGGAACACCGAUGGCGAAGGCAGCCUCCUGGGAUAAUACUGACGCUCAUGCACGAAAGCGUGGGGAGCGAACAGG
rnacentral:rRNA from 1 species